rnacentral:rRNA from 1 species
GCAUAUCAAUAAGCGGAGGAAAAGAAACCAACAGGGAUUGCCUUAGUAACGGCGAGUGAAGCGGCAAUAGCUCAAAUUUGAAAGCUGGCGUCUUCGACGUCCGCGUUGUAAUUUGUAGAGGAUGCUUCGGCGAAGACUCCUGCCUAAGUCCCCUGGAACGGGGCGUCAUAGAGGGUGAGAAUCCCGUAUGUGGCGGGCAGUCUAAGCCAUGUGAAGCUCCUUCGACGAGUCGAGUUGUUUGGGAAUGCAGCUCUAAAUGGGAGGUAAAUUUCUUCUAAAGCUAAAUAUUGGCCAGAGACCGAUAGCGCACAAGUAGAGUGAUCGAAAGAUGAAAAGCACUUUGGAAAGAGAGUUAAAAAGUACGUGAAAUUGUUGAAAGGGAAGCGCUUGCAACCAGACUCGCUCGUAGUUGCUCAGCCGGCCUCUUGGCCGGUGUACUCUUCUACGAUCGGGCCAGCAUCAGUUCGGGCGGCAGGAUAAAGGUGUCGGGAAUGUAGCACCCUUCGGGGUGUGUUAUAGCCCGGCGCGGAAUGCUGCCAGCCUGGACUGAGGAUCUCGCUUCGGCAAGGAUGCUGGCGUAAUGGUUGUAAGCGGCCCGUCUUGAAACACGGACCAAGGAGUCUAACAUCUAUGCGAGUGUUUGGGUGUCAAACCCAUGCGCGUAAUGAAAGUGAACGGAGGUGGGAACCCCUCACGGGGUGCACCAUCGACCGAUCCUGAUGUCUUCGGAUGGAUUUGAGUAAGAGCAUAGCUGUUGGGACCCGAAAGAUGGUGAACUAUGCCUGAAUAGGGUGAAGCCAGAGGAAACUCUGGUGGAGGCUCGCAGCGGUUCUGACGUGCAAAUCGAUCGUCAAAUUUGGGUAUAGGGGCGAAAGACUAAUCGAACCAUCUAGUAGCUGG